AUCAAGAAAUUAAUCCCUAAAUCCCAACGCAUCCCACUAAAUUACAGAUAAACUUACAUCAUCUGAAUAGAGAGAGAGAGAGAGAGAGAGGGAAAUACAGCUGAGCAGUGAUGCCGACUGAGGAGAGUUUGGGUGGGAGACAGUCAGGGGUCUAGGGCGAAGGAGGCAUUGCGUGGAAUCUCGUUGGAGAACAGACACGGACGGAAAGGGUUGAGAAGGAGGGAUCAUCCCUGCAAAGCAAGAUUGAUCGGAGGUAAGAGGUAGGUGAAAUUUGACUUUCAAAACCUGGAUUUGAAAUUAUGAGUACUAAAUUUCUCCGCAAAAAUUAUUAUGAAUGCUUGGUGGAACUGAUGUGACUGUUUGUAGAGUUUUAUUGAUUAUAUACGUUGAUAGGAAGAGAGUUGAGCAUGCGGAGAAUAAACUGACUUCUAAUAGAAAGGAAGAAAUGUGAUUGGUCUGAGGUUAGGGAACUUUAAUCUGAUUUGGUGGAGAAUGGAAAAUGAGCUUGAAUUGAAUUCUGAAAACUUAUUAUCUGUUUAGGGUGGUGAAAGAAGAAUGAGUUGGAAUUAAAUACAGAGGGCUUUUAAUAGGUUUAGGGUGGGGAGAAGAAUGUUGAAUUGAAGGUCAAUCCAAAGAGAUGUUACCAUGUUUAGUGUGGAUGAAGAAAAAUGAAUUGGAAGUCAAUUUUAGGGAGCUUGUGACUGCUUAGAGUAGGAAAGUGGUAGACAGAUCAGAGUUGGGAAAAUUUCCAGAAUGGAAGGGUAAAAUGCCAAGUAAGAUCGAAUAAAAAAAUAUAUAAAAAAAAAGGAAGAGAAAAUCGACGGAUUAUAUAGGUACAUGAGUAUGCUGUAGUUCUUGGCUACAUAUUUCUCAAACCCUUUUGUUAGAAAUAGCUUGUUAUUCAUUGAUGUUUAUGGUUGAAAUCUGCUUGAUGAAUUAUUGUUAGAUAAUUACCUUAAAUUCAUGCAGAUUUGAGUGUUUAGGUGCAUGUUAUGAGCUUUUCAGAAGACAAAAUUGAUCUAGGUAUAAAUUCACAAAUCAAGUUUAAGAUAUGGAUGGUUUAAAUGAUCCUGAGGUAUGGUUUUCUAAGUUUCUUUAGAGACUGAUCUGGUAUUUAUUAUGGAUGCUUGGUGGUUUCUCUUGAUACGGAUGGAUAUAUUCGGAAUGGUUGUAUAUAUGAUCGUAUAUAUAUGUGUGCGUAUAGGAGUGUGACUGUGUGAGCUUAUAUAAAUACGCAGAGUGUAGAGUGUGUUGGCUCGCCUGCUUGGGCCGAGGAGUGAAAAUGCAAAUUGUUGUGUGUGUUUGGUCCGCCUACUUGGGUCGAUGGGGCGAAAACCACGAAUGGCUGUGUGUGUUGGCCCACCUGCUUGGGCCGAGGGGUGAAAUCCCGAAUGGUUGUGUGUGUUGGCCUGUCUGCUUGGGUCGAGGGGUUAAACCCCGAAUGGUUAUGUGUGUAUUGUGCAUAUGUUUGUUGGCAGCAGAAUAUGCCGGAAGGAAUUGGUGUUUUUGCGAUCUCCAGAUCACUGGGUACAUACUUGUUGAGUGAUCUUAGCUUUACCAUAAGGGGGAUGGUGAGCAAGGAUGGCCUGGGCAUGUUAUGGAGCAUUUUUUCGUUAAGGGAUUGAGGAGUAGGUGUUAAUGAGUAUUGACAGAAGCUAUGAAAUUAGCAAAUUGAAGGUUGGCGAUCAGAAUAAAGUGUAAAUGAGAUGAAUUUAGGAAAUGUGAGCAAUGGGCAGGCAGUGUAAGAUGUUGGGAGUACAAGGCGAGUGAAAGUUUGGUGUAGUAAUUUCAGUUUGCUUGUUUUGAUUUUCAAAUUCUACUUACCGAACAAGUAUAGCUCAUUAUUUUAUUAUCACAUGACAGAUAAAGCGAGAGCAAGAUCGAGAAGUGUUGGAGACGAGCCAUACUACUUCGAGCUUGCAAUAACAUUUUUUUUUAGCUACCUUUGGACUUCGAUUCCUCGAGGAAUAUACUGAAAUAAUACUUGUAUAACUGAGACAGAAAUGGGUUUUCUUUUUCUUACCAUUAGAGUUAUGCAGGACGAUAGAUUCUAGAAUGAUGUAUAAACACAUAUGCAAAAUAAAAUUGUCAUUAUGGAUCUAUUCAUGGUUAUAUACUUCCUCUGUAAGUUGUAUGACACCCUGCCUCCUCUAGGGGUACGGGUGAAACGAUGAAUCAUAUAAAUCGACACUUAUUUAUUAAUAAACUAAAUUAAUUAUUUGAUUAUAA
rnacentral:lncRNA from 1 species